rnacentral:rRNA from 1 species
UACGGAGGGUGCUAGCGUUGUUCGGAAUUACUGGGCGUAAAGCGUGCGUAGGCGGCUUUUCAAGUUGGGAGUGAAAUCCCGGGGCUCAACCCCGGAACUGCUCUCAAAACUGUUGAGCUAGAGUAUGGUAGGGGACAGUGGAAUUCUUAGUGUAGGGGUGAAAUCCGUAGAUAUUAAGAGGAACACCAGAGGCGAAGGCGACUGUCUGGGCCACUACUGACGCUAAGGCACGAAAGCGUGGGGAGCGAACGGG